rnacentral:rRNA from 1 species
UUGAAAGGGCUGCUAAUACCGCAUAAGGUUGUUUGAUCGCAUGGUUGGACAACUAAAGCAGGGGAUCUUCGGACCUUGCGCUUAGAGAGGGGUUUAUGUCCUAUUAGCUAGUUGGUGGGGUAAAAGCCUACCAAGGCAGUGAUGGGUAGCCGGCCUGAGAGGGUGAACGGUCACACGGGCACUGAGACACGGGCCCGACUCCUACGGGAGGCAGCAGGAAGGAAUAUUGGGCAAUGGGCGAAAGCCUGACCCAGCGACGCCGCGUGGAGGAUAAAGGCCUUCGGGUUGUAAACUCCUAACAAGUGUUAGUAAGGUGCUAUGGUUAAUACCCAUAGUUACUAGAAAAAGGCACAAGAUGAAGUCAUGGCUAACUCCGUGCCAGCAGCCGCGGUAAUACGGAGAUGGCAACCGUUGUUCGGAAUCACUGGGCUUAAAGGGCACGUAGGCGGAAAGAUAAGUUGGGUGUGAAAGCCUCUGGCUUACCCAGAGAACUGCAUUCAAAACUGUCUUUCUUGAGUUCAGGAGGGGAGAGUGGAACUCCUAGUGGAGCGGUGAAAUGCGUUGAUAUUAGGAGGAACGCCGGUGGCGAAAGCGACUCUCUGGCCUGUAACUGACGCUGAGGUGCGAAAGGGAGGGGAGCAAACG